rnacentral:misc_RNA from 1 species
AACGCAUCUUGCGCUCCUUGGUAUUCCGAGGAGCAUGCCUGUUUGAGUGUCAUCAAGUUCUCAACCAUAUUGACUUGCUUCAAUUUGGAUUGGAUGAUGGGGUUUGCAGGCCCCUCGAAGGGUCUGCUUUCCUGAAAUAAAUUAGUGGUGUCUGAGCAGAGACUUUACUACUACAGGUGUGAUAAAUUAUCUAUGCCUUUUGUAGAGAAACUGUGCAAACUGCUUCAAAUCUCAUUUGUUGACUGAUUUGACCUCAAAUCAGGUAGGACUACCCGCUGAACUUAA